ACCUUAGAGACCAACUAAGUUUGUUCUGGGUAUAAGCUUUCGUGUGCAUGCACACUUCUUCAGAUACGAAAGCUUAUACCUAGAACAAACUUAGUUGGUCUCUAAGGU
rnacentral:miRNA from 1 species